rnacentral:snRNA from 1 species
GCUGGCUUCUACAGGGCAUAUACUAAAGUUGGAACAAUACAGAGAAGAUUAGCAUGGCCCCUGCACAAGGAUGACAUGCAAUUCAUGAAGCAUUUCAUGCUUUC